UUAGAGUUUGAUCCUGGCUCAGGAUGAACGCUAGCGGCAGGCUUAACACAUGCAAGUCGAGGGGCAGCGAGAUCAGUGCUUGCACUGAUUGUCGGCGACCGGCGCACGGGUGCGUAACGCGUAUGCAACCUACCCAUUACAGGGGGAUAACACUGAGAAAUCGGUACUAAUACCCCAUAACAUCCAGGGAGGCAUCUUCUUGGGUUGAAAACUCCGGUGGUAAUGGAUGGGCAUGCGUUGUAUUAGUUAGUUGGUGGGGUAACGGCUCACCAAGACAACGAUACAUAGGGGGACUGAGAGGUUAACCCCCCACAUUGGUACUGAGACACGGACCAAACUCCUACGGGAGGCAGCAGUGAGGAAUAUUGGUCAAUGGACGCAAGUCUGAACCAGCCAUGCCGCGUGCAGGAAGACGGCUCUAUGAGUUGUAAACUGCUUUUGUACGAGGGUAAACGCAGAUACGCGUAUCUGUCUGAAAGUAUCGUACGAAUAAGGAUCGGCUAACUCCGUGCCAGCAGCCGCGGUAAUACGGAGGAUUCAAGCGUUAUCCGGAUUUAUUGGGUUUAAAGGGUGCGUAGGCGGUCGGAUAAGUUAGAGGUGAAAUCCCGGGGCUCAACUUCGGAAUUGCCUCUGAUACUGUUCGGCUAGAGAGUAGUUGCGGUAGGCGGAAUGUAUGGUAUAGCGGUGAAAUGCUUAGAGAUCAUACAGAACACCGAUUGCGAAGGCAGCUUACCAAGCUACUUCUGACGUUGAGGCACGAAAGCGUGGGGAGCAAACAGGAUUAGAUACCCUGGUAGUCCACGCAGUAAACGAUGAUAACUCGUUGUCGGCGAUACAGUGUCGGUGACUAAGCGAAAGCGAUAAGUUAUCCACCUGGGGAGUACGUUCGCAAGAAUGAAACUCAAAGGAAUUGACGGGGGCCCGCACAAGCGGAGGAACAUGUGGUUUAAUUCGAUGAUACGCGAGGAACCUUACCCGGGCUUGAAAGUUAGUGACGGAUCUUGAAAGAGGUCUUCCCUUCGGGGCACGAAACUAGGUGCUGCAUGGUUGUCGUCAGCUCGUGCCGUGAGGUGUCGGGUUAAGUCCCAUAACGAGCGCAACCCCUACCGUUAGUUGCCAGCAGGUCAAGCUGGGCACUCUGACGGGACUGCCGGUGUAAGCCGAGAGGAAGGUGGGGAUGACGUCAAAUCAGCACGGCCCUUACGUCCGGGGCUACACACGUGUUACAAUGGCAGGUACAGAGGGCAGCUACCCAGCGAUGGGAUGCGAAUCUCGAAAGCCUGUCUCAGUUCGGAUUGGAGGCUGAAACCCGCCUCCAUGAAGUUGGAUUCGCUAGUAAUCGCGCAUCAGCCAUGGCGCGGUGAAUACGUUCCCGGGCCUUGCACACACCGCCCGUCA
rnacentral:rRNA from 1 species